rnacentral:rRNA from 1 species
CCUACGGGAGGCAGCAGUAAGGAAUAUUGGUCAAUGGACGAAAGUCUGAACCAGCCAUGCCGCGUGCAGGAUGACUGCCCUAUGGGUUGUAAACUGCUUUUAUAUAGGAAGAAAAACUUUCUCGUGAGAAAGCUUGACGGUACUAUAAGAAUAAGGAUCGGCUAACUCCGUGCCAGCAGCCGCGGUAAU